CAUGUAAUGACUCUUACGAAAUGUAAAUAAAAACAUUAUUCGGAAGUAAGCUUAAAGGCAAAAAGUACACCUUCUAAAUCACUGGACAAAAUUAAUUCGACCUUUCCCCAUUAGAUACGCUUUUCAUUUCGGAAGUGAAGGUGCACCACUGGUGGGCAUACUGCCAAAUAGUGUCCUGUUACUCUCAUAAAAUCUCUUUAUAACGAACACUCUAUUACCACAUGUUGUUUCACCUUGUUGCUGUUGUUUUACAAGCUUGAACAAUUUGGAGGAAGUACCAGUGAACAGGUAAACUUCUCAUUGUAUUUUCAAAUGCCGUGUUCAUCAUUUUUAAAGUUGACAGUUGUCUGAAAUGACUGACAUCAUGUUUCUUUUUACAGAGAUUUGGCUUUUACCCACUGCCAGGACCGCCAUUUUUUCCUCCGAUCCUGUUUCCCCCACCUCCACCUCCACAACUGCCCUUGAUUCCAAUUCCUCUUCCUUUUCCUUUUGAUCCAAAUCAG
rnacentral:lncRNA from 1 species